ensembl:lncRNA
GGGUUCCAGCUGGACGGCAGGACGCGGGGCCGCGCCGCGAGGAGCGCUGGGUGGCACACGCGGUGCCCAGGCCGCUCCUGUGCGUCCCCGCGGAUGGCCAGCUCCAACAGCUGUGCGAGUAAAGGUGACCUGAGCUGAGGGUCACGUGCACGACCCGCAUCAGAAAAUAACCCCAAAACGCGUAGCUCACUUCAGAACGUUAAAGCAGAGGAAGGCUGCCCCUUCUUGCUCUCGCGCGUAGGAGACGCAGCAGUGCAGCCGUUUUUGGCCGACAAGACAGGACAGCAUCCUACCUCCGGGGGCGGCAAAGGGGCCCGUGGCGGGUCCUGGCACGCGUGUCUUCUCUGGUCUUUGGACCUGGGGCAGAGGACGCAGAGCAGAGGCCAGCGGAGGCUGCGGGCCAGCAGGCCCUCUCCGGGAUGCCAGAACGAGCCUCGGACGCGGGCCCGCGGGGUGUAUUUUGGGAGGCCAGCCUCGGGCCGCCGCUGAGAGGGCUGCAGGCUGGCGUCACGGAGACACCACCGGAAGGAAGGCCUGAGAGUUCUGGAGCCCAGCGCCAAGGGCCCAGCCCCGGAAGAGCAGCCGGGCUGCAGCGAGCACUGCUCUCGGGCUGAAAGAAGAAAAACACACGUCUUUGUAAUUCCACUAAGAAGAGCAAGUUUUGGGGGGUAUUGGCCAUGCAUGUAGCAGCUCGAAGUUCCCAGGCCAGGGACAGAAACUGCGCCACAGCAGCAACCCAAUCUGCUGCAGUGACGACGCUGCAUCCUUAACCCAUUGCACCACAAGAGAACUCUGAGAAGUAUCAUGUUCAAGAAACAUACGUGUAUAUGACGCCCAAAAGUUAUUUUAAAAAUAAAUUGUCAGGAGUUCCCGUUGUGGUUCA